rnacentral:lncRNA from 1 species
UUCCUCUCAUCAAGCUCUACAACUUUCAUAACUAGCACAAGCACCAAUUCCAAGCCUAACUAGGGCUAUCGACUAAAAACAUCAAAAACACCAUAAAACUUCCACUUCAAAUUUCUCCUUACCUAGCUCAAGAGGGAGUGAGUCUUUUUAGGGCAAGGUUGCUGGGUUGGAGGGCUACAAAACCAUACCAAGCUUGCCCGGAUUGGUGGCCGGAGGAGGAAGUUCCGGCGAAGUGAAGGUUUGGACAGUCGGACCUUACGGGUGGCACCGCUCCUUCACGGCGGCGCUAGGGCUCCUCUCACCGGUUUAGAAAUGUUGCUGGGAGGGAGACCGACCGAACGGGACCGGUCCGGUGGCGAACGGAGGUCGGACGGCGGCGGGAGGACGGCCGGAAAACCGGUGGGUGUAGAGAGAAGAAAAUCGGGUGAGAAGAGAAGAAAAAUCGGGAGGGAGGGAGAGAGAAAAGAAAAAGGGUUUGGGCCUCACACCCCAAACCGGUCCACACCAUUUAUAACCCAAACUUCCAAAAUAAAAACACCCCGAAAAUAAUACCCGAAUAAAAAUUACCUUUUUCUAGCUAAAAUUUACUAUUUUUACCGUCGUUGUAUUUUCCUCAUACGAAUAAUCCUCCGCACAUAAUCGUCCCCGAAACCCCUCUAGGGACCAAUUAAACUAUUUACUCAAUGAUCGAGACGGUAAAAUUCUUAUUAUAAUCACGCUAGUAAAUAAGGUAAAAAUAUAAGGGUCGGGAUGUGACACCGUAUAUGUUUGAUUAUAGAGAGAUAACAUAAAUAUGAAGAGAAUAGAAAAAAUGAGAUGGGUCUAGAAGCUUGAGGAGAGAGACAGAGAGAGAGAGAGAAGGAUCAGAAGCAGGGCGGUGGAAUAAGAGUAAAAUGGUUUAAUACUUGGGUUAAAAUGAAGGACAGAUGAGGAAUUACACAGACCACUUGCAGGGUUAAAGACGUUCGCGCACUGUCCAUGUGAAUAGUUCUGACAGUGCUGAAGGUCAUCUCGGAAAAUAUAUAUAGGUUAACUUUGUAAA